AAAAAUCUUACCGGCAGUCCCAGCCCGUCAGCCCUGCUCUCCUCGCCGCCCCCGCCCCUGCUCUCCUCCGCCCCCCCUCCCCUCUGCCCUCCGUUAUUCGGCUCUCUCCGCGCGAGGUCGCCACCGGCCGUGGCCCCUGCAGGUUGCUGCCCGAGCUCUCCUCUGCAGCACCGUCGACCUCUUCCCUUCCUCGCCCACCCUCCUCCCCGCCUCAGAUCUCCGGCGGCUGGGUGCGGGCUAGGUGGAAUCCCCGUCGGCGUUCGACCCCGUCCUCGUCUCCGCCGACCGCCAUCCUGCCGGCUGCUGCUCCGUCACCCGCCUCCCACCGGCCGCUGCUCCGCUAACCGCUGAAUCGUCCCGAUGCUCUGUCGGCCUCUUCUUCAACUGGGAUAAAUUGGUAUGUUCGGAAAGGACAUUGACGAAGGUAUUUCGUAUGAGCAGAGAGCAAUGGGAUUGUAUGCAAGCUUUUGUAUAUAUUUUGUGGCUGUAAAAUAGUACUGCACCCUUUCUUCAGUAAUUUUAAAUUAUCUUUCUUAAGCUCGGUUCAGUUUUGAUGGUAGAAUAGAAGGCAUCUGCACAUUCAGGGAGAGGUGAAUAUAACUGAAUUAUCUUUGAAAGCUUUUCUCCCAUCAGAUUGGUGACCGUUACUUCAAAUGAAGGGUGAAGGUCCUAUUAGUCAAUUGUUUAUACAGUAAAGCAUCAGGUAUAUUUUUGUUGGUUCAGAAGUGCUCCCAAUUCUAGAGUUCGUGUUGUUUCAUUUCCGUCGAAAAUCUAAUUAUACGACGUGCAGGCAGUUUUAGGACAUAAGUUGUUAUCUCUUUUGUAAAUAUUAAGGACUGAUUCUAUAUUAACAUAAAACUCAUCUUGAACCUUCCUACUGAUUCUAUGGUAGUUCCAUAGAGAGUUAACUUCAUACAAUACUUUCUAGAUCGUGAAAAGUGCAGGGCUGACAUACUGACCGAACUAUUCUUGCUCUACAUGCCAAAUGAUUCUCUAUUUUUAACAUUGUCAUUACUGUAUCAACAAUCAUAAUAUGUUGUUAGGAUAAUAUGCUGUUAGGACUAUCUCCACUUGCAUUCAACUUGGCAGGAUUUACUUUAAUAUCAACUUUCUGGAAUUUUUGGUUGUUUUAUACUCAUGUGUUUGUAUGCCUCUAUGAUGGAUUUAACUUCAGUCACCUGCUGGAGCAGCUGGACGCCAGGUUUGGGUCUUAGCAUAAGCUUACCUGAUAUUUUCCUAUUGAAAAUGCUUACAAUUUAUGGUUAUUGUUUUCUUGCUAAAAUGCCUUACUACACUUUUGUUUCCCAGAAGGUUGAUGAUAUAGAAAAUGAAGCAAACAAACUUAAGCGAAUCAAGAACUAUCUUCAUGGCAAGUUAUCAGAGCACACAAGUCAUCCCAUUGAGAAGGAGGGGGAUUCCUUGUCGCCGUGCAAAAAACCUUUGCGUAGUUUAAAUAAGAGCGGGAUGCAGAGCGGAUGUGUGGAUGAAUAAAGGAUAGGAGAAAGCAAGAUGGGGAUGUUUGUCACGACAAAAAAUGUGUAUCUGUCAUCAGUGUAUUGAACAAUAUUAAUUAGUAUCUUUAUAUGUUUAUUAUUGUUUGUUACAAUGUUUAAUUGGUAUUUAUAUAUGUUUAUUAUUUUUUGUA